rnacentral:tRNA from 1 species
UGGUGCAGUAGGUAGCGCAUCAGUCUCCCAAGCUGAAGGUCCUGAGUUUGAUCCUCAG